rnacentral:rRNA from 1 species
AUGGAAAAACUAAUGAUAUUCUUCCUACAUGCAGGUACCCAUGUCAUCCCAAUUGCGGCCUCAUCUGUAGCUGCAUUUGUAGUUCUUUCAUUGAUUGUGGCCACUGUGAUAUAUCUCUCCUUGAAGUCAAGGUACAAUGAAGAGAUAAAUAUGAAGGUUGAAAUGUUUCUCAAGGCAUAUGGCACAUCGAAACCUACAAGAUACACCUUCCCUGAUGUUAAGAAGAUAGCAAGAAGGUUCAAGGAUAAACUCGGUCAGGGCGGAUUCGGAAGUGUGUACAAAGGCGAGCUACCAAAUGGAGUACCUGUGGCAGUCAAGAUGCUAGAGAGUUCUACAGGAGAGGGGGAGGAAUUCAUCAAUGAAGUUGCAACCAUUGGACUAAUCCACCAUGCAAAUAUCGUACGCCUCUUGGGCUUUUGCUCUGAAGGAAUGAGACGGGCCCUUAUUUAUGAAUUCAUGCCUAAUGAGUCACUGGAGAAAUACAUAUUCACACAUGUUUCUAAUAUUUCUCGACAACUCCUAGCACCCAACAAAAUGUUAGAUAUUGCUUUAGGCAUUGCCCGAGGAAUGGAAUACAUGCAUCAAGGUUGCAACCAGCGGAUUCUCCACUUUGACAUCAAGCCACACAACAUCCUGCUGGACUACAACUUCAAUCCAAAGAUCUCUGACUUUGGCCUUGCAAAGCUGUGUGCAAGGGACCAAAGCAUUGUUACGCUCACAGCAGCCAGAGGAACUAUGGGAUACAUCGCACCGGAGCUAUACUCUCGAAACUUUGGAGGGGUGUCAUACAAGUCAGAUGUGUAUAGUUUUGGCAUGCUGGUGUUGGAAAUGGUGAGUGGAAGGAGGAACUCAGACCCAAGUGUUGAGAUCCAGGACGAGGUAUACCUCCCUGAGUGGAUCUAUGAGAAAGUGAUUUCUAGGCAGGAAUGGGAGCUUACUCUGGAAAUGACAGCAGAAGACAAAGACAAGAUUAGACAGCUGAGUAUUGUGGGGCUGUGGUGCAUCCAGUGGAACCCAAAGAAUAGGCCGUCGAUGACGAAGGUGGUAAACAUGUUAACUGGGAGGCUGCAGAACCUGCAGAUUCCACCAAAGCCCUUUGUGUCGUCUGACAUUCGUCCUAUGCCACAGAACACGACGAACACAUGA